rnacentral:rRNA from 1 species
UAGGGGCGACCGAAAAGGAAUGAGCCCAGCGCAUAACCUCCCGUGCUACCAAGCAUUGGGCGGACUGUUGCGUAGUGGGAGAGGUCUAAACUUUCACCAGUAUCACGGCAUACCAAGUCGACCCAGACUGGUCUGUAAUGCACGAAGGUCGUUACUAAACACCAUAGAGGGUGGCAGUCCCGUCCGUGUGCGCGUGGUGUCUGGCGGAGGCCUCUCUCCGUGAGUCGCGUUGCUCUGGAAUGCAGCGCUAAGACAGGUGGUAAACUCCAUCUAAGGCUAAAUAUAUCCACAAGGCCGAUAGAAGACAAGUACCGCAAGGGAAAGUUGAAAAGAACUCUGAAGAGAGAGUUAAAUGCUUGUGAAACCGCUCAGAGUAUAGUCCGAUGGCAUCGUCCGGAUGGCAGAGUGGCAGUCACUCCCUAAGAGAGGGAGCGAAUCGUUGGUAACACCACAAUAUAUGUCCAUUACUUCCCUGGAAGUGUGGAGCGGUAAAAAACGUGUCAGGCUCUCACGGGCUUGGCGCGUCUCGAGCGCUGUACUCGUCGUGUCACCCAUCCCUGUGGCAUGACUCGAGUCCGGUUAGCAAGGGGGCCGGUAUACAUUGGUGCAUCAAACACGUAUCUGACUGUCCUGAUUGUCCACCACGGCACGCCGUAAGGUCACCUAACAGAUCACCGUAUAUGUCGUGAAGCUAAGGGAGACAUGUUCGUGUUUCCUUUACGCUACUGCGUCAAAGGGAGUGGUGUAUUCCUCUCCUGGUGAAUCCUGUUUUGUACGAUCCUCUGCGGUGGCUGUAAAAGUCCAUGUCCAAUACGAGCGUACCUGAUUCAUGUGUCGAACCAGGUCGUGGUUUAAAAUCCAUCCAUCACUUUCCAAAACAAUGCUACUUCCUGUAGCAGGAUUGGUGGACUCGUUUGGAUAGGGUUGGUGAUUAUGUCCGGAGCCAUCGGGCACGUCUCGAAACACGGGCCAAGGAGUAUAGCAUGUGUGCAAGUCUAAGGGUCCCUCAAAACCCAGUGGCGAAGCUAAAGCAAUCGAAUGCUGCUGUGAAUGCUAAGGAAUUUACUUUCUGAUGGCAUAUAUCGCAUUCAGCCGAGCUGAUCCGUACCUCUUUGAUGGGGACGGCGCAAGCUCCGGGUUCGUCAGAACGUGGCACUCCGAUACUGUGCGGGGUGCUACGUGAUGCGAGCACCGCGUAGCACAUAUGGUAAUACCCGAAAGAUAGUGAACUAUGCUUGGCGAGGGUGAAGCCCCAGGAAACU